rnacentral:tRNA from 1 species
AAAAGAAAGUGGCAGAGUGGCCAUGCAACUGGCUUGAAACCAGUUUACGGAGGUUCGAUUCCUUCCUUUCUCGUCA